ACAUUACGCCAGACACUAUUUUGCCAAAAUAUAAAAUGGAUUCUAAAGCAUUUGGUGAGUGAUCGACCGUUUUAUUGGUAAGUGGGAUAUUGAGUUUUUAUAAAACCUACAACGUGAUAGAACAAUGUGAGAAUAAUUACGUAACUGUAAAUCACAUUAAUUCGAAGGAAGAGUUCCAACAAUGUGUUGAUCGAACUUUUAUCAAAUGUAAAAAAGUGGAUAGCGUACGAACGCUCCUGCAUUACUAGGUAUUGCUACGCUGUACGCAAUAACACCCUAUCUUUAUUGAUGGAAUAGAAGCUACUUGGGCCCCUUUGAUUCCCGCGGGCGUGACCGGUUUCCGCCGCACGUCAAUCUCGAUGGAGGUUGAUGUAUUACUCUGUAUCAAGCUCUCCUGCCAACAACCAGUAUAAAGGCGUGCCUUUUGGCAACUCGAUGAAAGCAUUUCGCAAACAGCAUAGAAGGGCAUCUUGUGCAAGGUGCAUUUCAUGAAUAUUUGGUUUCCUGGAAUAUAUUUUGUGACAACAAUGCUGUUGUCAUGGCGGGGCUAAAAAGAGGGUAUGGUAUUUCUCGAACUGAGAGUUGACGUUUGAAAACGUCUGUUGUACAAGACCCUGGUGAUGACACAACUUUGAUAAGGAGGAGGAUUUUUCUUGUCAUCGCAAGUUUUUCUGACGGCGUCUUUCUAGAAGGUGGAUACACUCAUUCAUCAAGGGCUCUCGAAUUUCUCGCAUCGCCCCGCAAAACAUUUCCAGCCGCCAAGGCGUGCGAUCGACGGUGCUUCUGAAUCCUGAUAUCCUGCCUCAUCAUGUUGAUUACGUCGAUAAACUGUUGAGCUCCCUUUACAACAACAAACCGACAUCCAGUAUGGAUUCUUUCGGCCGGAGACGACAACAACAACAUGAGCAAGGACAAUAUGUAGGAAAAUAAAGCAACGUCGUUUCGUGAGUAGACAACAUCACGACCAGACCGGAUGCCAUCUAGCAGCGUGAAACGGAAAUGAAGUCGCUGACAGCGACGUAAAUCAACAGCAAAUCGACUUGCAAAAAUAACUUCUCGGGCUCAUCGCGCGAAGAAAAAGAACAAAAUAAAGGGAAGGGGGAAAACGCAAUCGAUGUCGACGCUCUCUUUUUUUUUACGUCUGCAGACCAUUUCUUUCGUUUAUGUUAACAGCAAGCCCGAAAAAGGAACGAGUUGGUUCGUGUUUUGGGGGGGAAGCUAAAGGUCUCUACCUCCCACACAGCGCAACCAGUUGCAAGUCAUGAUAACUAUUUCUUUUCUGCCCGAGUCUUUGCGUCGGCAAAUAUUGACUUUAGUUGAAAAAUAGACUCGACCCAAUUUUUUUUGUUUG